rnacentral:rRNA from 1 species
UACGUAGGGCGCAAGCGUUGUCCGGAAUUAUUGGGCGUAAAGAGCUCGUAGGCGGCCUGUUGCGUCCGCUGUGAAAUCCCGGGGCUUAACCCCGGGCGUGCAGUGGAUACGGGCAGACUGGAGUACUGCAGGGGAGACUGGAAUUCCUGGUGUAGCGGUGGAAUGCGCAGAUAUCAGGAGGAACACCGGUGGCGAAGGCGGGUCUCUGGGCAGUAACUGACGCUGAGGAGCGAAAGCGUGGGGAGCGAACAGG